GACGAACGCUGGCGGCGUGCUUAACACAUGCAAGUCGAACGGAAAGGCCCUGCUUUUGUGGGGUGCUCGAGUGGCGAACGGGUGAGUAACACGUGAGUAACCUGCCCUUGACUUUGGGAUAACUUCAGGAAACUGGGGCUAAUACCGGAUAGGAGCUCCUGCUGCAUGGUGGGGGUUGGAAAGUUUCGGCGGUUGGGGAUGGACUCGCGGCUUAUCAGCUUGUUGGUGGGGUAGUGGCUUACCAAGGCUUUGACGGGUAGCCGGCCUGAGAGGGUGACCGGCCAAAAUGGGAAAGGGGAACGGGCCAGACUCCUACGGGAGGCAGCAGUGGGGAAUAUUGCACAAUGGGCGGAAGCCUGAUGCAGCAACGCCGCGUGCGGGAUGACGGCCUUCGGGUUGUAAACCGCUUUCGCCUGUGACGAAGCGUGAGUGACGGUAAUGGGUAAAGAAGCACCGGCUAACUACGUG
rnacentral:rRNA from 1 species